rnacentral:rRNA from 1 species
UGAACGCUGGCGGCAUGCCUAACACAUGCAAGUCGAACGAAGCACAUGAGACAGCUUGCUGAGGAUUGUGACUUAGUGGCGAACGGGUGAGGUAAUGCAUGAGCAACCUGCCCUUCAGUGGGGGACAACAGUUGGAAACGACUGCUAAUACCGCAUAACAUAUCGGGACCGCAUGAUCCUGAUAUCAAAGCUUUAUGUGCUGAAAGAUGGCCUCGCGUCUGAUUAGCUAGUUGAGGGUAACGGCCCACCAAGGCGACGAUCAGUAGCCGGUCUGAGAGGAUGAACGGCCACAUUGGGACUGAGAUACGGCCCAGACUCCUACGGGAGGCAGCAGUGGGGAAUAUUGGUCAAUGGGGGAAACCCUGAACCAGCGACGCCGCGUGAGGGAAGACGGUUUUCGGAUUGUAAACCUCUGUCUUCAGGGACGAAUAAAUGACGGUACCUGAGGAGGAAGCCACGGCUAACUACGUG